GAUUUCAUUUGUGAUUGUUUAGAAAUUAUGUCGAGUAGAGUACUUUAUAAAAUUACAUAUGCGAUGUGAAAAAUUAAACGUCAAACUUUAUAUCUGUUUUUCAACUUUAAAUUUUUUAUUAUUAGCUUGGUGAUAAUAUCAAGCUAAGUUUUAUACUAUAAAUUCGAUUAUUUAAUAAUAAGGUUAAAAAUACCUAGUUAUAAAAAACUUGUUCAAAAUUUCAUGUAUUUGUUUUAUAGUUAAUGUAAAGGUUGAUUAAUACCAAUUUUUAGUAUUUAAUUAUUUUUGAAUAAGUAAUAACAAAAAUUUAAUCAUUUCUCAAGUUUUGCCCGUCUGUUUAUUAAAAACAUUUCCAUAUUUUAUUAUAUAUGGUAGUACCUGCUCUAUGUUUAUUAUAAAUGGCCGCAGUAUCUUGACUGUGCGAAGGUAGCAUAAUUAAUUGCCUUAUAAUUAAAGGCUUGUUUGAAUGGUUUGACGAGGUAAACCACAAAGUUUAAUUUUUAUUUGAAAUUUAUCUAGAGGGCACAGAAUCCUCUAUUAUUAAUUAGACGGAAAGACCCCAGGAUCUUUCUUUUUUGUCUGGGGCAGAUUAGUAUAUUUUAUACUCAUUUUGAUCCUUAUUAAAGUAUAAUGAUUUAAGUUACCCUGGGGAUAACAGUGUAAUAGUUUAGUAGAGUUCUUAUCGAAUAAACUGUUUGCUACCUCGAUGUUGACUUAGAUAAAUAGUUUAGGCGCAGUAGUCUAU
rnacentral:rRNA from 1 species